rnacentral:rRNA from 1 species
UACGUAGGGGGGCGAGCGUUGUCCGGAUUUAUUGGGCGUAAAGAGCGUGUAGGCGGCCAGGUAGGUCUGCUGUGAAAACUCGAGGCUCAACCUCGAGACGUCGGCGGAAACCAUCUGGCUAGAGUCCGGAAGAGGAGAGUGGAAUCCUGGUGUAGCGGUGAAAUGCGCAGAUAUCAGGAAGAACACCCGUGGCGAAGGCGGCUCUCUGGGACGGUACUGACGCUGAGACGCGAAAGCGUGGGGAGCGAACAGG